rnacentral:rRNA from 1 species
CUACGGGCGGCACCAGUGGGGAAUUUUGCACAAUGGGCGAAAGCCUGAUGCAGCGACGCCGCGUGGAGGACGAAUGCCUUCGGGUUGUAAACUCCUUUUGUAGGGGACAAUAAUGAUGGUACCCUAUGAAUAAGCAACGGCUAACUCUGUGCCAGCAGCCGCGGUAAGACAGAGGUGGCAAGCGUUGUUCGGAAUUACUGGGCUUAAAGGGCGCGUAGGCGGUAAUGUAAGUCUAAUGUGGAAUAUUACAGCUUAACUGUAGGGCUGCAUUAGAAACUGCAUCACUUGAGUCGGACAGGGGAAGGCGGAAUUCCUGGUGUAGCAGUGAAAUGCGUAGAUAUCAGGAGGAAGGCCUGUGGUGAAAACGGCCUUCUGGGUCUUGACUGACGCUGAGGCGCGAAAGCGUGGGGAGCAAACAGGAUUAGAUACCCCCGUAGUC